AGUGGACGCUGGCGGUAGGCCUAACACAUGCAAGUCGAACGGCAGCACAGUAAGAGCUUGCUCUUACGGGUGGCGAGUGGCGGACGGGUGAGGAAUACAUCGGAAUCUACUUUUUCGUGGGGGAUAACGUAGGGAAACUUACGCUAAUACCGCAUACGACCUACGGGUGAAAGCAGGGGAUCUUCGGACCUUGCGCGAUUGAAUGAGCCGAUGUCGGAUUAGCUAGUUGGCGGGGUAAAGGCCCACCAAGGCGACGAUCCGUAGCUGGUCUGAGAGGAUGAUCAGCCACACUGGAACUGAGACACGGUCCAGACUCCUACGGGAGGCAGCAGUGGGGAAUAUUGGACAAUGGGUGCAAGCCUGAUCCAGCCAUACCGCGUGGGUGAAGAAGGCCUUCGGGUUGUAAAGCCCUUUUGUUGGGAAAGAAAAGCAGCAGGUUAAUACCCCGCUGUUCUGACGGUACCCAAAGAAUAAGCACCGGCUAACUUCGUG
rnacentral:rRNA from 1 species